rnacentral:rRNA from 1 species
UACGUAGGGCGCAAGCGUUGUCCGGAAUUAUUGGGCGUAAAGAGCUCGUAGGCGGCUUGUCACGUCGGGUGUGAAAGCCCGGGGCUUAACCCCGGGUCUGCAUUCGAUACGGGCUAGCUAGAGUGUGGUAGGGGAGAUCGGAAUUCCUGGUGUAGCGGUGAAAUGCGCAGAUAUCAGGAGGAACACCGGUGGCGAAGGCGGAUCUCUGGGCAAUUACUGACGCUGAGGAGCGAAAGCGUGGGGAGCGAACAGG